rnacentral:rRNA from 1 species
UACGGGGGGAGCAAGCGUUGUUCGGAUUUACUGGGCGUAAAGGGCGCGUAGGCGGCCAGCACAAGUCAGUUGUGAAAUCUCCGAGCUUAAACUCGGAAAGGUCAACUGAUACUGUGCGGCUAGAGUGCGGAAGGGGCAACUGGAAUUCUUGGUGUAGCGGUGAAAUGCGUAGAUAUCAAGAGGAAACACCUGCGGCGAAGGCGGGUUGCUGGGCUGAUACUGACGCUGAGGCGCGAAAGCCAGGGGAGCGAACGGG